rnacentral:rRNA from 1 species
UACGUAGGGUCCGAGCGUUGUCCGGAAUUAUUGGGCGUAAAGAGCGUGUAGGCGGUCCGGUAAGUCCGCUGUGAAAGUCGGGGGCUCAACCCUCGAAUGCCGGUGGAUACUGUCGGGCUAGAGUGCGGAAGAGGCGAGUGGAAUUCCUGGUGUAGCGGUGAAAUGCGCAGAUAUCAGGAGGAACACCUAUUGCGAAGGCAGCUCGCUGGGACGUAACUGACGCUGAGACGCGAAAGCGUGGGGAGCAAACAGG